rnacentral:tRNA from 1 species
AACAUCUACGUCCACGGGGAAUCGAACCCCGAUCACUCACUUGGCAAGCGAGUAUUCU